UACGUAGGGGGCAAGCGUUGUCCGGAUUUAUUGGGCGUAAAGAGCGUGUAGGCGGCUAGGUAGGUGGGUUGUGAAAACUGGAGGCUCAACCUUCAGACGUCGACCCAAACCCCCUGGCUAGAGUCCGGAAGAGGAGAGUGGAAUUCCUGGUGUAGCGGUGAAAUGCGUAGAGAUCGGGAAGAACAUCGGUGGCGAAAGCGCUCUACUGGACCGCAACUGACACUCAGGGACGAAAGCUAGGGGAGCGAAUGGG
rnacentral:rRNA from 1 species